ensembl:lncRNA
CCUGGCGCCCCACGAGAGGCUCACUGACCUCGCCGUCGUACCUCGUGAGAAAGCGCACACUGGGGCCGCCGCUCGAGAACAACCCCAAGACUCCCCCGUCAUCGCGAGAUGAGGGCCUUCGUCUCCUGCAUGGCCUAGAGACCAAUCUCGCGACCUCUCUCCAAACGCCUCAGGAGGCUUGACUCGCUUUAGUCCACCCAGUGAGCUCCAAGAGAUACCCGUCGCGACUCGAGAGCAGAGCGGGGUUCUUUGCUUCCACUCGAGAUGGAUGCCUGUCUCCCCGGGUGUGUCUGGAAUGCAACCCCGAGAUCCCUGUCGCCCCUGGAGAGGAACACUGGCUUCUGGACACAAGCCUAGAUGAGGUCUAUUGGCCCUGCAGUCACUCGAGAGCAAUCCCCAGCUUUCCUUCGCAACUCGAAUGGAAGAUUGGACUUCCCUGGGCCAACACAAGAGGCAUCCUGAAUUCCCCGUCGUAACUCGAGAAUCCCGCUGCAACUCGAGAAAAUCCACGUGGUUCCCCCGUCAUCGCAAGAUGAAGCCCUUUCCCGCUACAGUGUCUCAGGAGAAGUCCCACGUUAGGUAUUGGAGGUCGAAACGGUACUUGGCACCCUUGAUGCGACCCACAAAGUGCCCCGACAUCCCGGUCUCCCUCAAGAGGAACACCGAGGUUUUCCCGCACCACUUCCUCUGAGCCCCUUCUACCCUCCUGAUCUGGACAGGAGGGUCGACUCCCCUGCUUUGUCUGGAAGGGGUUCCCGACCUUCCGGUCGCACCUCAGGAUGAGGCCGGUC